UUUUAUUUAUUAUUUUUUAGACCUUCUCAAAACCUGUAAUCUCAAAACAUAACAUUUACGCCUUUUCUUUCCAACAGAUAGCCUCAUCUCCGCACCACACACGAAGACAUCAACUGAGCCGAGGAUUGUGUUAAAGCGGUGAUGGGAGACAUACCCAACUCAGUUUAGCUGAGCAUCGCCUCAGCUAAUCAGGUGGGUCCGGUGACAGGCAAGCUCAGCUCUACAUUAGACCGAGGCUCAUCUGCGUUUUGGUUCCUACCCCACCCAACGAUGCUAGAGAGCCAACGAGGCGGCAAGAAAAGGGGAUCCAAACCCAAAUCGCAGGCAAUUGAUACUUCUACUUUGGCCAUCGAUGAAGAUUGGGUCACUAAGUAUGCCCGCCAAGUUUCGAAACUGUUACUGAUUUUGAAGGUGGUUGGCAUUUAUGUCUGGAUUAUCGAUACCUGUUUCAAGAAUUCAACCAUUACUCUUUGCUAGGUGGUUUUUCCUAUUUCUAAUUCCACUUUAAUUUCCUUGGAUUAUCUAUCUUUCGAGACAAUAAUCUGUAUUGUAGACUCUUUGCCUGAUGCUGCCCUCUUUAUGAGUGUGAAUUUCUUGUAUUCAUUGAUAUAAUUGGCAACUUAUUUUUUUCUUAUUUGAUAUGAGUUGGAGAUAUAAGGCUGGUUUGUUCUUGAUAGCUGCUGUUGUUAUUAUAUGGGUCACCUCUGAGGAAGUCAGCCAGGUAGGUUUCAAAUUUGUUCUUUGUACUUUGUCAAUUUGAAUUGUAUAUCUGGUUAUAUAAAAAAAAUGCGUGACAAAUGGGGAUACUAGCUAGCUUUAUUUCUAUGGUUCUAGUUUUUAAUUCAAACAAACUCCUUUGUGCUUAAUUUUCAAAGAUUUAUUUUUCUGAUCGAGUAUGUGGAAUUAAUGGUCAUGAAAUGCGUGACAAAUGGGGAUACUAGCUAGCUAGUUCUAGUUUACAAUUAUUUCUUCAUCUUUGGUUCUCCACCACUUAUUUUUCUUUUCUCUUUCUUUUUCUAGCUGUUACAUUUGUUUUCUGGUUUCUUAAUUGAAGCUGCGGAGCUAGGUAUAGAGAGUGCCAAUGACCUUUCACCACAAGUAGAGGGAAGGCCUUUGAUUCUCAGACGCAAAGAUGAUUUUAAUGUGUUGAAACAUGACAAAGAGCUUACAAAUAGAGAAAUUGCCACCUAUGGUUUUUAUAUUGCCCCAAUCUGGCUUGUAACAGUGGUUAUUGCCAAUUGAGCUGCUGAGAUUCUUGGACAUAAGCAUAGUGAAAAGUUUGUACAUCCAAAUGAUCAUGUGAACAGAUCACAGUCUUCUAAUGAUACCUUCCCAACUGUAAUGCACAUUGCAGCUGCAACAGAAAUAAAUUCAAGAUUAAUACCAAAUUUGAGAAAUUUGCACACUAAUUUGCUCACUACACUACUUUCAAAGUCUACUGAAUUCAAAGAUAUUGUCAAAAUUGGUCGCACACACAUUCAAGAUGC